UACGGAGGGGGCUAGCGUUGUUCGGAAUUACUGGGCGUAAAGCGCACGUAGGCGGCUUUGUAAGUUAGAGGUGAAAGCCCGGGGCUCAACUCCGGAACUGCCUUUAAGACUGCAUCGCUCGAAUCAUGGAGAGGUCAGUGGAAUUCCGAGUGUAGAGGUGAAAUUCGUAGAUAUUCGGAAGAACACCAGUGGCGAAGGCGACUGACUGGACAUGUAUUGACGCUGAGGUGCGAAAGCGUGGGGAGCAAACAGGG
rnacentral:rRNA from 1 species